GGCCUAUUAGCUCAGUUGGUUAGAGCGUCUUGCUAAUAACGCGAAGGUCGAGGGUUCGAGACCUGCGUGGGCCA
rnacentral:tRNA from 1 species